UCUCCCCCUACUCCGCACUUUAAAAAUUUUUAGUUAAAUCCUUGAUGUUACAUUUAAGUUCAUGUGAAUCUUUCAUCUGCAUCCAUUAAUUGGGCAUUAAUAUAUUACUAUAUGUGACCAUCAUGUUAUAACAUAUAUUUGUUCUUAGGACUAAAAUGCCCGUUAGGGUUAAGGGUGCCUCAAGACCUUCGUUCUAUCUCAAUCCUCCUCUUGUC
rnacentral:lncRNA from 1 species